rnacentral:misc_RNA from 1 species
GAUGAAGAACGCAGCGAAAUGCGAUACGUAAUGUGAAUUGCAGAAUUCAGUGAAUCAUCGAAUCUUUGAACGCAUAUUGCGCUCUCUGGUAUUCCGGAGAGCAUGCUUGUUUGAGUAUCAGUAAACACCUCAACUCUUUUUUCUUUUUUGAAAUUGGAGCUGGACUUGAGUGAUCCCAACGCUUUCUUCCAAGAAAGUGGCGGGUUGCUUGAAAUGCAGGUGCAGCUGAACUUUUGUCUGAGCUAUAAGCAUAUCUAUUUAGUCUGCCUAAAAAACAGAUUAUUACCUUUGCUGCAGCUAACAUAAAGGAGACUAGUUCUUGUGCAGACUGAUGCAGGAUUCACAGAGACAGCUUCGGCUGACUUUGUAAACUCGAUCUCAAAUCAAGUAAGACUACCCGCUGAACUUAAGCAUAUCAAUAAGCGGAGGA